rnacentral:misc_RNA from 1 species
AAGUCGUAACAAGGUUUCCGUAGGUGAACCUGCGGAAGGAUCAUUAACACGUGUGAAAACUCACGUAUUAACACUCUCAACAAAUCGUGAACUGUUAUUAACUUUAUUUUUACUUUUUUUAUAUGGUCUAAUUUAUUUUGGUAUUCGAUGAUCUCUCAUACACUAAUACUGUUUGAUAGAGGACGUCUUGAGUAUCGAAUCAUAAUAAAAAAAUACGAAACAACUCUUAGCAACGGAUAUCUUGGUUCUC